rnacentral:rRNA from 1 species
AAAUGAAUUGACGGGGGCCCGCACAAGCGGUGGAGCAUGUGGUUUAAUUCGACGCAACGCGAAGAACCUUACCAGGAUUUGACAUCCCCUGACCGCCGUGGAAACACGGUCUUUUGCCUUCGGGUAAACAGGGAGACAGGUGGUGCAUGGUUGUCGUCAGCUCGUGUCGUGAGAUGUUGGGUUAAGUCCCGCAACGAGCGCAACCCUUACGAUUAGUUGCCAGCGGGUUAUGCCGGGCACUCUAGUCGAACUGCCGUUGACAAAACGGAGGAAGGUGGGGAUGACGUCAAAUCAUCAUGCCCUUUAUGUUCUGGGCUACACACGCGCUACAAUGGCCGGUACAAAGGGCGGCGAACCCGCGAGGGGGAGCGAAUCCCAAAAAGCCGGUCUCAGUUCGGAUUGCAGGCUGCAACUCGCCUGCAUGAAGGCGGAAUCGCUAGUAAUCACAGGUCAGCACACUGUGGUGAAUACGUUCCCGGGCCUUGUACACACCGCCCGU